rnacentral:rRNA from 1 species
UACGUAGGGUCCGAGCGUUGUCCGGAAUUACUGGGCGUAAAGAGCUCGUAGGUGGUUUGUCGCGUUGUUCGUGAAAACUCACAGCUCAACUGUGGGCGUGCGGGCGAUACGGGCAGACUGGAGUACUGCAGGGGAGACUGGAAUUCCUGGUGUAGCGGUGGAAUGCGCAGAUAUCAGGAGGAACACCGGUGGCGAAGGCGGGUCUCUGGGCAGUAGCUGACACUGAGGCGCGACAGCGUGGGGAGCAAACAGG